rnacentral:rRNA from 1 species
AUUGAACGCUGGCGGCAUGCCUUACACAUGCAAGUCGAACGGCAGCGGGGGAGAAGCUUGCUUUUCCUGCCGGCGAGUGGCGAACGGGUGAGUAAUACAUCGGAACGUGCCCUGUAGUGGGGGAUAACUAGUCGAAAGAUUAGCUAAUACCGCAUACGACCUGAGGGUGAAAGUGGGGGACCGCAAGGCCUCAUGCUAUAGGAGCGGCCGAUGUCUGAUUAGCUAGUUGGUGGGGUAAAGGCCUACCAAGGCGACGAUCAGUAGCUGGUCUGAGAGGACGAGCAGCCACAGUGGGACUGAGACGCGGCCCAGAAUCCUACGGGAGGCAGCAGUGGGGAAUUUUGGAAAAUGGGCGAAAGCCUGAUCCAGCAAUGCCGCGUGUGUGAAGAAGGCCUUCGGGUUGUAAAGCUCUUUCGGUAGGAAAGAAGGCAGUUUGUAUAAAUAAUGCAAGCUGUGGACGGUACCUAAAGAAGAAGCACCGGCUAAUCUCGUGCCAGCAGCCGCAGUAA